UCGACGGAACCAAUCGGAGGACUGGGCACUAUGGGGAGAACCAAUCGGACCGUCAGGACCCCUAUCUUAGCGGUGGACUACUCUCCACAAAUACUACGUUUAACUUCUAUUCUAAUAAGUUUUCAGCUAGCCCAGCAUACUAGGACCCUGUUUGGAGAGGUGGAGGACCCAGGUUCGAGCCCAAGCAUGUUCACGCGACCGGAAAAAAUAAAAAAAUAAAAAAAUUUAAAAGGAAAAAAUUUAAAGGGUAAAAAAUUUUUUAAAAAUUUAAAAAAUUUAAAAGGAAAAAUUUAAAAGGAAAAUUGUCUCGUAGACGUCCACGAGUCCCCUCCACUCUUUUUUUCCACAGACACCUUUAGGGGGGAGGGCCCCAGACAGUCACAGCAGGGGGUCGGCGCCAGUGGCUGAGGAGUGGGGGUUUGUUUGACGCCCCAUAGUGCCCACUAUCUACUUGGAUCUACCAAACAAUAAGUUGAAAUCGUCUACAGCCGAUGCAUUGCCUGUAUCGAUAGUACAAAAUAAGGAGUUAGAUCUACCAAGCGAUAAGUUGAAAUCGUUUCAAAGAUCAGCUACAGAGUUUCGUGAACCAGCACCAUCACGAAAAGACAAUCGACCUUGGAGGACCAGACUCUUGUGUAGUGAACGCCACUCGUCUUUCCUUGUGCAAUCACACAUCUGCCUCUAAGUUGAUAUGCGAGAUGAUGUCUUUGCUAUUUUCAAAAGAAGAGUUAGCUACCUUCUCGCUUACAGGAACUGUGGCAAAUUUUCAUUGCGAAAAAGGUAUAGCCGCUAAAAUGAAACUCGACACGGUGAAAAUUGAAGCUAUGAAAGUAUACGUUAAGAACAAAUUUCCAAUAGAAAAAGAUUUCGACAAGAUGUUCCGCAAAGCAGUGCAGCAGAAGUGCAAUAAUGCAGUUCCUCGAAAUAGAGGAUCAAAUAAUAAAGGAGAAACCAACAAGUAAAGUUAAAGGAACCAGCAUAUAUAAAGGCGAAAAACCCAAAGAACGCAGAUUAAGCGUCGUAAAUAAGUCGAAUAACGGUUAGUUUCCAGUGUUUUUAAUAAUCGGGACCAAUACAACUAGUCAGAUUAUUGUAUUAUUAUUUGUACUUGAUCUUGCGAAUGAAAGUACAAUUAAUGUCACAGUGUUGUU